GUGGGUAUGGCCUAGUGGUUAGGGCGCCAGAUUGUGGCUCUGGAGAUCGUGGGUUCAAAUCCCAUUACCCACCCCA
rnacentral:tRNA from 1 species